UACGAAGGGGGCUAGCGUUUCUCGGAAUCACUGGGCGUAAAGCGCACGUAGGCGGCUUUUUAAGUCAGGGGUGAAAUCCUGGAGCUCAACUCCAGAACUGCCUUUGAUACUGAGAAGCUUGAGUCCGGGAGAGGUGAGUGGAACUGCGAGUGUAGAGGUGAGAUUCGUAGAUAUUCGCAAGAACACCAGUGGCGAAGGCGGCUCACUGGCCCGGUACUGACGCUGAGGUGCGAAAGCGUGGGGAGCAAACAGG
rnacentral:rRNA from 1 species